GCCUGCGUAGCAGACGCUAUUUGGGGGGAGGGCGAGGGUGGGAAAAGCUAGGGGGGGGGGAUGCGAAGGCGAGAGAAAGAGAGCGAGGAAAAAUGGAAGGGGCGAGAAAGAAAUAGCUAUUUAUUUCUCGCCCCUCCCAUUUUUCCUUGCUCUCUUUCUCUCGCCUUCGCAUCCCCCCCCCCUAGCUUCUUCCACCCUCGCCCUCCCUCCUAAAUAGCGCAGGCUAGCCUUGCACAUAUUACAUAGUGGCAG